rnacentral:rRNA from 1 species
CCUACGGGUGACAGCAGUGGGGAAUAUUGCACAAUGGGGGAAACUCUGAUGCAGCGACGCCGCGUGAGUGAAGAAGGAAUUCGUUACGUAAAGCUCUAUCAGCACGGAAGAAACACUGACCUUACGGUCAGCAGACGGUACCUGAGUAAGAAGCCCCGGCUAACUACGUGCCAGCAGCCGCGGUAAUACGGAGGGGGCAAGCGUUAUCCGGAUUUACUGGGUGUAAAGGGAGCGUAGACGGUGCGACAAGUCGGGAGUGAAAUGCCGCAGCUUAACUGCGGAACUGCUUUUGAAAUUGGCGAACUAGAGUGCGGGAGGGGUAAGCGGAAUUCCUAGUGUAGCGGUGAAAUGCGUAGAUAUUAGUAGGAACACCGGUGGCGAAGGCGGCUUACUGGACCGUAACUGACGUUGAGGCUCGAAAGCGUGGGGAGCAAACAGGAUUAGAUACCCCAGUAGUC